rnacentral:rRNA from 1 species
UACGUAGGGUGCGAGCGUUAAUCGGAAUUACUGGGCGUGAAGCGUGCGCAGGCGGUUUUAUAAGAAAGGGGUGAAAUCCCCGGGCUCAAACUGGGAAUGGCAUUUGUGACUGUAAGACUAGAGUAAGGUAGAGGGGGAUGGAAUUCCGCGUGUAGCAGUGAAAUGCGUAGAUAUGCGGAGGAACACCGAUGGCGAAGGCAAUCCCCUGGACCUGUACUGACGCUCAUGCACGAAAGCGUGGGGAGCAAACAGG